rnacentral:rRNA from 1 species
AUUGAACGCUGGCGGCAGGCCUAACACAUGCAAGUCGAGCGGAAGAAGGGAGCUUGCUCCUGGAUUCAGCGGCGGACGGGUGAGUAAUGCCUAGGAAUCUGCCUGGUUGUGGGGGAUAACGUCCGGAAACGGGCGCUAAUACCGCAUAAGUCCUGAGGGAGAAAGUGGGGGAUCUUCGGACCUCACGCUAUCAGAUGAGCCUAGGUCGGAUUAGCUAGUUGGUGGGGUAAAGGCCUACCAAGGCGACGAUCCGUAACUGGUCUGAGAGGAUGAUCAGUCACACUGGAACUGAGACACGGUCCAGACUCCUACGGGAGGCAGCAGUGGGGAAUAUUGGACAAUGGGCGAAAGCCUGAUCCAGCCAUGCCGCGUGUGUGAAGAAGGUCUUCGGAUUGUAAAGCACUUUAAGUUGGGAGGAAGGGCAGUAAGUUAAUACCUUGCUGUUUUGACGUUACCAACAGAAUAAGCACCGGCUAACUUCGUG